CACAGGACAUGCAACAGAAAGGGAAGUGAACCGUGAACCUAGCUGAUGCGUUCAAACACAACCAAAAACUAAUCCCAUCACUCGCACACAGUUAAAAAUGGAGCCAGUGGACGCUGAAAGUCUCGUUUCCAGAUUGGAGAGGAAUUUUUGGACCGUCUGGGGUGUUUUCAGUGAGGCUGUGAAUAGAUUCCUAAGGCCACAGGUUCCAAACAACAUCGGCAGCGAUCCGAACACUCCUGACAUUAGUCAUGCAGGGACCAAUGGCUCCAGUGAAGAGGACACCAUCAUAGAAAAGUGCCUUGAUCUGCCUAACUCAUCUGAGCUACUUAGUGGAGAAUCGGAGGAGAACAAACAACUCCUGAGCAGUUCAAACAAUAAAUAUGAGGAAGUCGAAAGCACAAAAGCAGAACCUUUGCACCAGAACAAACCGGAUUAUGAAGGGAUGCUCAUCACCAGAAAAACAAACAUCGAGAAACUCGAGACACCCAAAAAUGAUACAUACGAGCAUUUAAAGACUAAAUCACAGAGUCACAUUGAGGAUACAGUUUGUAUCAAGGUCCAGGGGAAUAAAUAUGACACUUAUACAGAAGAAACUAUGAGUCCUGUUAAUGCAGAAAUAUUUAAAGAGACAGACCAAGAACAGGAUCCGCUGCAACAUACAGAAAGACAGAAUUUCAGUGAUAAUGAGUCUGGGAUAAAACUGAUCCAAGAAUUAGGUUUGGGAAAAAAGAGUGACAUGAUCAACAUGGGAAAUUCAGGGGAGGAACCUGACGGUGCAACUGUGAUGCAAGAUGGAGCCAAAAACAAGGACGGGGUUGGACAGACGACCUCUGAGGAUGCAAAGGAGUCAGAACACAGAAGAAAACUGGUGGAGUAUGCACAGAGUGAGGAUGAGAUGAUCAUUAAUUUUCAAACCAACACAACAGACACAACUGAAAUACUACCAGAAGAUGAUUUUAGCAGUGAAGACGACAACUUGGACAGUUUGGUAGACAUGUUGCUCGAAAGCGCAGGCAGACAGGAAGUUCAGAGAAAUUUGGAGAAAACUCCCAAGGGUUUAAGUGAAGAACGGGGUGUAGCAUUGAAGGAGCAAAACAUUCCCGCGUGUGAGGAAACACAAGAGGGAGUUCCUGUAAACAACAAUGAACUCAGCCUGGAUGAAAAUACAACUCAGCUUUUCCUGGAAGGAGAUUCCAAGGAAGCUGAGGCUGCUCGAUUACCAGAAGAGGUGGAGAGUAACUACCAUCAGGAGAGGCUACAAAACACAGACCAGGACCAUUUACCGCUGUGCAAGGCUGUGGAGGAGAACCAAGACUACACAGAGGACAAGGGAAAUGUUGGGGAUUCGUUGAGCUACACUAAAAUACAGCCAGUACAUGCAAGUUUUCAAGCUGUGAUUCAAGAUCCUGGAUUAUUCAAUCAGGAAGAGGAGAAAGAAUCAUUAGAGAGCUCAAUGAAGAAGGAGAUCAGAUGCUACAGCAGUGAUUUGGGGGUUGUGGUUGCCUUAAAAAACAAGAUCAUUGAUACGCCAGAGCUGCAAGACGCAAUGGAUGAAGCAGAGCCAAACAUAGAACCUUUAAACGCCCCAAAUGAUGAAAAUGGUGCAACAAGUGAAAUUACCGGUAAAUCUGCAGAGGAAUUUUGUGAACGUGUUGAUAAACUGUUGAAAUUUGGUGAAGAAAACAUGACAGAAACAUACUUUUUAGAGGAAUUUGUAGGGAACGACAAAAACCAAAAUACUUUCAAGCCAGAAUCUGAAAUUGCUCUUCAGCUUCAGACACAGGAGGAGUCAUCCAGAGCACCCGAGAUAAAAGCCCUAGACGUGAUGAAUGUCACUGAGGAAAGGAAGACAGAUACUUCCGAAGCAGGUAUGUCAACAGAAGAAACAGACAAACAUGUGAUUCAAUCAUUGAUAAGCCUCACAGGAGAAAACAGUCACUCAAUCAGUGGAAAUCAAGAUGUAAUUGAUGAAGAAAUUCUGGACCUGUGGCUUGAAACAGUGACGCCUUCAAAGGAAUCAAUCUCCAUGGAGGUGUCUGAGGUGAAAACACACAAAGUAGCGCGGCCUCACCUUUUAGAGGGUAUUGAGGCAGUAUCUUACAUAGAAUCAAAAGUUCAACAACCUGAGGUGGACUUUUUGCAUCAAGAGAAAAGUUUAGCUCAAAGAAGAACAGAGGAGGAAUGGGCAAGAUCAGCUGAGACUUCAACAGAAUCCAUCUCUAAGGAAGUGUCUGAAGUGGAAACACCCAAAGAAGUGUGGCCUCACCUUUUAGAGGGUACUAAGGCAGUGUCAUACACAGAAUCAAAAGUUCAACAACCUGAGGUGGACUAUUUGCAUCAAGAGGAUCAUUUAGCCCAAAGAAGAACAGCAGAAUCAGCAGAGAAUGAACAUGGAUUUCAGAAACAUUUUGAUGCAGUUAGAAUGAACACAGAUAUUAUUUUGCCUGUAAAUACAGCCCCUUUAAUCCCAGUCGACAUGUUAAAAGUUAAAGAUGUUCAGGAGAACGUGUGCAGCUUUAUGGAAAAACCAAAACAUGCGGAAGCGGAACAAUCAAGGAACGUACGAAAGGAUUGUCUAGAAGAGCAAUACGACGUAGAACCAUGCACGGAGAAGUUGGCGUUUCAAACGUCUUCACAAAAAGAACAACAGCCAGAGCACUCAGAAGAUUUUCAGGAACUAAUGCCAACCGGGUUUGAGUUUGCAGACGUGAUAACUGUUGCUGAAGACACAGAUGAAAGGAAGCUAGAUGCUUCCGAGGCAAUUAUGUCAACAGAGGGAACAGACAAACAUGUGAUUCAAUCAUUGGGAAGCCUCACAGGAGAGAACAGUCACUCAAUCAGUGGAAGUCAAGAUGUAAUUGAUGAAGAAAUCCUGGACCUGUGGCUUGAAGCGGUGACGCCUGCAAUAGAAUCCAUCUCUGAGGAAGUGUCUGAGGUGGAAACACCCAAAGGAGCGGGGCCUCACCUUUUAGAUGGUAUUGAGGCAGGAUCUUACACAGAAUCCAAAGUUCGACCUCCUGGAGAGGACUAUUUGCAUCAAGAGAAUUUAGUCCAAAGAAGAACAGAGGAAGAAUGGGCAGAAUCAGCAGAAACUGAAAGUAGAUUUCAAGAACACUUUGAUGCAGGGAGAAUGAACACAGAUAUUAUGUUGCCUGUAAAUACCGCCCCUUUAAUCCCAGUCAACAUGUUAAAAGUUAAAGAUCUUCAGGAGAACUUGUGCAGCUUUUUGGAAAAACAAAAACACGCUGAAGCUGAAGAAUCAAGAGAUGGAACAAAGGAUCUGCAAGAGGAACGAUACAAUGAAGAACCGUGCACGGAGAAGUUGACGUUUCAAGCGUCAUCACAAAAAGAACAACAGCCAGAGCACUCAGAGGAACUAAUGAUGCCAACCAGGUUUGAGUUUGCAGAAGUGCCAACCACAAAGGGUAAAGGCCAGGACCAGGUCGAUUCCUAUUUGUUGGACCUUUCUCUGCAGAAGUGUAGAAUCACAGUUAAAAACCCUCGAGUGAGGCCACCAACGAAUCCUCGUACCUUGUUACACACACCCUCCAUGGCGCCCACUCCCUCUUCACAGGCUGUACCUUUAGGAGCAGUGAGUAUUGGGAUCAAACUGCCUGGGCUUGGAGCAAGCCUGCCAGUUUUAAAAAAGUCAGGAAAGGUGACGGGAAAGGAAAAAGGACAGAAAACAUUACAAAAAGAAGACAAAGAGACAAAACCAGAAGACAACAGUGAUUCUCCCAAACAGGAUGAAGCCCAACACAAACCUAGAUGGAUGCCUCCAAAGCAUCAGGGAUUUGGUAAUCCACUGAUGUUGGAGCUGAAGACCAAACUCAAAAGAACCGUAAAUGAGUGACAGGUUGUGUUUGUGACUGUAAAUAGCGACCGUGGCUCAGGUGGUAGUGGGUCGUCUUCUGAUAGAGAGGUUGGGGGUUCCAUCCCAGUACCUGACUAUGUGUCGAAGUGUCCUUGGGCAAGACACUGAACCCUAAGUUGCUCCCAGUGGUCGACUAGCGCCUUGCAUGGCAGUCCUGUCCCACUGGUGAGUGAAUGGGUGAAUGAGCUGAUAUGUAAAGCGCUUUGAGACUGCUUCAGUGUGGUGAUAAAGCGCUAUAUAAAAUCAAGUCCAUUUACCAUUUAUCAAAUACUGGUAAUAAAAAAGCAGUGGAUUUUUUUUUAUUUUUAUUU
rnacentral:lncRNA from 1 species